GCUGAAAAGCGUAGUCGAUGGAUAACGGGUUAAUAUUCCCGUACCAUUAUUUAUUGAUAACGAGGGACGGAGAAGGCUAAGCUGGCCGGAUAUUGGUUACCGGUUUAAACGUUCGAGGUGUUGAGAAACGGAGAAAACGUUUUGAGCUAAGACGUGAAUACGAGAUGCUACGGCAUUGAAGCAGUGUAUGUCAGACUUCCAAGAAAAGCUCGCAAUGUCUUAAAUAAAUAAUGCCUGUACCAUAACCGACACAGGUGGGUAGGUAGAGUAUACUAAGGGGCGCGAGAUAACUCUCUCUAAGGAACUCGGCAAAAUGACUCCGUAACUUCGGGAGAAGGAGUGCCUUAUUUAUAAGGUUGCAAUAACAAGAUCCAAGCAACUGUUUACCAAAAACACAGGUCUCCGCUAAGUCGUAAGACGAUGUAUGGGGGCGUGACGCCUGCCCAGUGCCAGAAGGUUAAAGAAGUUGGUUAGCAUUCGCGAAGCUGAUAACUGAAGCCCUGGUGAACGGCGGCCGUAACGAUAACGGUCCUAAGGUAGCGAAAUUCCUUGUCGGGUAAGUUCCGACCCGCACGAAAGGCGUAAUGAUUUGGAUACUGUCUCGGAGAGGGGCUCGGUGAAAUAGACUUGUCUGUGAAGAUGCGGACUACCUGCACCUGGACAGAAAGACCCUAUGAAGCUUUACUGUAACUUGAAAUUGAAAUUGGACUUUAUUUGCGCAGUAUAGGUGGGAGGCGUUGAGUUAAUUCUUGCGGGAAUUUAGGAGCCAUCAGUGAGAUACCACUCUGGUAAUGUUAGAUUUCUAACUUUGUAUCAUAAUCUGGUCAAAGAACAGUUUCAGGCGGGCAGUUUGACUGGGGCGGUCGCCUCCCAAAUGGUAACGGAGGCGUACAAAGGUUUCCUCUGAACGUGUAGAAAUCGUAUCUAGAGUGUAAAGGCAUAAGGAAGCUUGACUGUGAGACUUACAAGUCGAGCAGGGACGAAAGUCGGUCUUAGUGAUCUGACGGUGCUGAGUGGAAAGGCCGUCACUCAACGGAUAAAAGUUACUCUAGGGAUAACAGGCUGAUCUCCCCCAAGAGUUCACAUCGACGGGGAGGUUUGGCACCUCGAUGUCGGCUCAUCGCAUCCUGGGGCGGUAGUACGUCCCAAGGGUUGGGCUGUUCGCCCAUGAAAGCGGUACGCGAGCUGGGUUCAGAACGUCGUGAGACAGUUCGGUCCAUAUCCGGUGUAGGCGUUAGAAUAUUGAGAGGAGCCUUCUUUAGUACGAGAGGACCGAGAAGGACAUACCUCUGGUGUACCAGUUAUCAUGCCAAUGGUAAACGCUGGGUAGCUAUGUAUGGAGAGGAUAACCGCUGAAAGCAUCUAAGUGGGAAGCCCACCUCAAGAUAAGUAUUCUCAUCAUGUAAAUGAGUAAGGUCACGGGAAGACUACCCGUUUGAUAGGCAUUAAGUGUAAAUGUAGUAAUAUAUGAGCUGAGAUGUCCUAACAGACCGAGGACUUGAAUUU
rnacentral:rRNA from 1 species